UUCUCUGGUGAAGGAUGACAAAUGAUCAGCUUGUGGGGACUGUGCGGGUUAUCAAACACCCAGAAAUAUUUGAGGGGGAAAAUUGCCUCCAAACACAGAUUAGUUUACUAAAAAUAGCAUCAGGAAUGACUCUUAUGUCAGAUGGUGUGGAAUGAUGUAAGAAACAAAGCCUGUUUGAGAGCCUCUAAUACAAGGGAUGUAUGGGAUGCUGCUGCAAUAAUAAUUUAUAUGGUUGCCUGCUAGCAGGUUGAUAUAUUUGUUACCUACAAAGAGUGUCCAUGCUCUUGGAGGGAAAAAACUGAAAUUUUGUCAAAAACUUCUUUGGAAAACACAAGAAAAUUUGUUCUCAAAUUCUGACAAAAUAGGUUGUCCAUUUCAGAAGGAGAGAGGGGCUCUCUAAGGAGAAUUUUAUUCCCAGUUGCUCCUUCUGUGAAGUUUCAUGGGCCAUGUUGACUUUGGGAGUGGAAGAGGAGACAAGGUUUUCAAUUUGACUGUCAAGGUUUGGACAUGAAAUUCUGGUUGAACCGAAGGAGAUGAGACAGGCAAGCUUACACGUGCAGCUCCAGGAGGGUGGGAAAGACAUCCUGGAAGAACUGGAAAAUCACCCCUGGAAAUGAAGAAAAGGAGACAUGAAACAACUUUCAGAAUUGAUACUUGCUGUUCAGGUGUGAAAAUACAUGACUACAAUGAGGAUGCACUUUUUGAUUAAUAUUUUCAACUAAAAGCUAGCUGAAUGAUAAGUGGCAGAGGAAAGCACCAUGAUGUGGUUCCCAAGUCUGUGAACACACACUUAACAUGCCUCUGGACAAAAGGGGUAAAAGAAGAUUGAGGUUGGCAUGAAGUAGCAAAAAAAACCAGCAUCUGCCUUUAGUCAGGGGAGCUGUUGCCAUCAUUAUCAAACAGAAAAUCCUAGGAAUUGGUUUUGCUCUCAGGACAUGUAGUGUUUGUUCUUAUAAACAGAAAUAUGUUUUAAGGUGUUCAUAUGUAGUGAAAGGGGUGACUGUGGGAGAAACUGGAAACCCACUUCAGAAAUCUUACUUACUCCUGUUUUCAAAGGGAGCUGAGUGCAAAUUGGGACCAGAGGAGAUUUGUGGCUAAUUUGGGAUCCAAACAUGUACUCAGGGCCAAAGGCUGGUAAAAUUUCCUGGCAUUCGCUGACUCAGUAGCAAUGCAGAAGGUUUAUGGAAACACCCUUCACUGUGUGUUUUUCUGGCAAACAGAAGGGAUGGGUUCAUUUUCCUGGGAAGAAGACUCUAAGUUUUCUGUGGCAUUUCCCUGUAAGUAUUGAGAGGUUACUCAGGUGCAGUCCCCUGCUGGAAAGGCAGCCCUGGCUAAAAGACUAAGGAGGCUAAAAGAGCUGCUUAUGUGAUUUAAAUGGGUUACAGUUUCCUUCCCUUCCAGGUAUUUGGAAAAACCACAUCCUCCUGUCAGGAGUGCUCCUGAGCCCCUUGUAGAACUGCUGGAGAGUUUCUGAGAGCCCAAAGCAGGGCUGACAGCCCUCCCACUGAAAAUUCUCAUGCUGAAGAAGCUGCUCAUCAACUCUGCCAUCAGCAAAUGACAUUCUCAAGGGUUUCUUCUUUUGGCCUUCUCUUUUAAUAGUACUUUUUCUACGCUACCAGAGGUACUUUCUGUUCCCCAUUAAAUCUCCUGAAGUGUUGUUCUCCCCAGGGGUAAACAAGGAACCCAGAGAUGCUUCAGGAGGCUUCACAUGGUCCUUGCUGAUAUGCCAUGCAACAAGAUGUGUGGAUGUGGCAUUUGAAGACCUGGUUUAGUGGUGGACCUGGCAGAGCUGGACUCAAUGGUCUCAAGGGUCUCUCCCUAACGAAAUGAUCCUGUGAUUCUAAGAUGAUGUGAGACCUCUGUAGAAGUGGACGAGCUGAUACAGACCUGGCUUUUCCUGGCGGCCUGCUCAGAAGGUGCAGCUGUGAAAGAGGAAACAUCUCCUGAUCUGACUUAUAUUAACAGUGACCCUCUGAGCCACUGUUAAAGCAGCAGAACAAAAGACAUCUGGGAGAGAUCUGCAGUCACCUGCUGUGACAGUGGGGCACGGGGCUCUGAAAGCUCUGAUCCAUUAUGCUUUCCACCUAUUUCUCUGGAGAAACCACUUCAGUGUGUGAAAAGGUGUUUAAAUAAAAAGCUGUGCUUCAUGUUAAAAAGGGAGGAAAUUCCCGUUUCCUUGCUUGUGUGCCAUCCUGUUGGUCCUGGGUCUGCCUGACAGAUGCAUUCCUCCCUGAAGACCUCCCUGCUAAUCGUGAGUAGCAGAUGCCAGUCUUCCUCAGCACAUGUUGGGAUGUAAUGUAGCC